rnacentral:rRNA from 1 species
GACGAACGCUGGCGGCGUGCUUAACACAUGCCAGUCGAACGGAAAGGCCCUGCUUGCAGGGUACUCGAGUGGCGAACGGGUGAGUAACACGUGGGUGAUCUGCCCUGCACUUCGGGAUAAGCCUGGGAAACUGGGUCUAAUACCGGAUAGGAGCCAUUUUUAGUGUGAUGGUUGGAAAGUUUUUUCGGUGUAGGAUGAGCUCGCGGCCUAUCAGCUUGUUGGUGGGGUAAUGGCCUACCAAGGCGGCGACGGGUAGCCGGCCUGAGAGGGUGGACGGCCACAUUGGGACUGAGAUACGGCCCAGACUCCUACGGGAGGCAUCAGUGGGGAAUAUUGCACAAUGGGCGCAAGCCUGAUGCAGCGACGCCGCGUGGGGGAUGACGGCCUUCGGGUUGUAAACUCCUUUCGCUAGGGACGAAGCUUUUUGUGACGGUACCUAGAUAAGAAGCACCGGCUAACUACGUG